CGCCGCCCGCGUCACUACGGCCGCCUCGUGCCGCACGCCUCCCUUCCCGUCACGCGGCAGAGGCGGGAUGACGUCACUUGGCCGGGCAGCGGGUGGUGCAGGAAGUGCCGAGCGGCGCAGCUGGAUUCUGUUUAACAGCGAUCCUUACCUAAAAUCAUGGAAACUGCCGGUGGUGAGGUACACCAUCCUGUAGAUCCUGGAAUCUCAAAGCUGCAGUUUGCUCCCUUCAGUAGUGCCUUGGAUGCAGGAUUCUGGCACGAACUAACCCAGAAGAAACUCAAUGAGUACCGGUUGGAUGAGACCCCAAAAGUUAUCAAAGGUUACUACUACAAUGGUGAUCCUUUGGGUUUGCCAGCUCGCUUGACAUUGGAGUUUAGUGCCUUUGAUAUGAAUGCUUCAAUACCAGCACGUUGCUGUCCUGCUUUUGGAACAUUGUAUAAUACCAACACUUUAGAGACUUUCAAAUCCUGUGAUAAGAAAUCACUUCUGGAAAAAGAAGCCAAUGAGAUAUGGGAAUCAAUAAAAUCUGGAGCUGCUCUGGAAAACCCUUUGCUCUUGAACAGAUUCCUGCUGCUGACAUUUGCAGAUUUAAAAAAGUAUCAUUUCUAUUACUGGUUUUGCUACCCUGCUCUCUGUUUCCCUGAUGGAAUACAUGUAAUUCAGAAACCAGUGUGUCUUGGAGACAGAUUCCCAUUAAAUCAGAUUCAAGCACUUCAGAAAGCAUAUGAUGAGCUUUGCCAGAAAGAGGGCGUUACAGCUUUGCCUUAUUUUUUAAUCAAGUAUCAUGACAAUUCUGUUGUGAUAUCUCCACUGAAAAAGUGGGAUGGUUUCUUCCAAGACCAAGGCGGAAAGGUAACAGUUGGAGUUUAUGAUCCGUGUAAUUUAUCCCACUAUCCAGGAUGGCCACUGAGAAAUUUCCUGAUCUUGGCAGCACACAAAUGGGGCAGCAUUCUCCAGUCUGUUGAAGUGCUCUGCUUCAGAGAUAGGACCAUGCAAGGAGUGAGGGACAUAACACACAGCAUUAUCUUUGAAAUAAAACUUCCAGAGAGAGUCCUUGGCCCAGGUUGUCCAAAAGCUGUUGGGUGGGAGAAAAACCAGAAGGGAGGUAUGGGUCCAAGGAUGGUGAAUCUCAGUGAAUGCAUGGAUCCAAAAAGGUUAGCAGAAUCGUCAGUGGAUCUUAAUUUGAAAUUGAUGUGCUGGCGAUUGGUGCCUACUCUUGAUUUGGAAAAAAUCGUGUCUGCCAAGUGUCUGCUGCUUGGAGCUGGCACGCUGGGUUGUAGUGUUGCAAGGACCUUGAUGGCUUGGGGAGUCAGGAAGAUUACAUUUGUGGACAAUGCAAAGAUCUCGUACUCCAACCCAGUACGACAGCCACUGUACGAGUUUGAAGACUGUCUGAGCGGUGGGAAGCCCAAAGCACUUGCAGCAGCAGACAGGCUGCAGAAAAUCUUCCCAGGAGUGAGUUCAGAAGGCUAUAACAUGAGCAUCCCCAUGCCAGGGCACCCGGUGAAUUUUUCUGAAGUAACAAUGGCACAGGCUCAGAAGGAUGUGGCUAAACUUGAAGAGCUAAUUGAUGCUCAUGAUGUUGUUUUCCUGCUCAUGGACACUAGAGAGAGUCGUUGGCUUCCUGCUGUCAUUGCAGCCAGCAAGAGGAAGUUGGUCAUCAAUGCUGCAUUGGGAUUUGACACAUUUGUUGUUAUGAGACAUGGACUAAAGAAACCAAGACAGCAAGAAUCCGUUGAUUCAAGUUUCAACAAUGACUCUGGUUCUUCUGAUCUUUUGGGAUCAUCACUUUUUUCAAAUAUCCCUGGCUAUAAACUGGGUUGCUACUUCUGCAAUGAUGUUGUGGCACCAGGCGAUUCCACCAGGGAUCGGACACUGGAUCAGCAGUGCACAGUCAGUCGACCUGGACUGGCCAUGAUAGCUGGAGCGCUGGCAGUGGAAUUGAUGGUGUCUGUUUUACAGCAUCCAGAAGGUGGUUAUGCUGUGGCCAGCAGUAGUGACGACAGAAUGAAUGAACCACCUACUUCUCUUGGACUUGUUCCUCAUCAGAUCCGUGGAUUUUUGUCAAGAUUUGAUAAUGUUCUUCCGGUCAGCCUGGCAUUUGAUAAGUGCACAGCCUGUUCAACCAAAGUCCUCGACCAGUAUGAACGAGAAGGGUUUAAUUUCCUAGCUAAAGUUUUUAAUUCUUCACAUUCCUUCUUGGAAGACUUGACAGGUCUAACUUUAUUACACCAGGAAACACAGGCUGCUGAGAUCUGGGACAUGAGCGAUGAUGAAACAGUCUGAAAAUGUGCAGAAGAAGGUGGGAGAUGUCUUGCUUGGGACUGCGGCGCUGCCUUGCAUCUCUCCUCUGACGAGUUCCUGAUUGCUUACUCACUCUGACUGCUACAGAUACAGACAAAUACAAUCCAGGCAUUUACUCAGUGAGAAAUCAUGAGAAUUCAUUCAACUGACUGAGUGCACAUUCCAAAUACUGCUCGCAGAUAAGCACAUUUAUGUACUGGCUUGUGUGUACUUAACAUCAGGAUUUUGGCACAGUCCUCAGUUCCAGUUAUUGCUGUUUAAUGGAAGAAGCUAAACUUUGGCCUUUCCUCAUGAAGGAGGUAGGAUUUCAAUUUUAUUUGUGCUGCCAUGACCUCCUGGGCAUCAGGGAAGAGCCCAAACUCGUACAUUUGUUGUAGAACCCAACAGCUAUGCUGGCUUUUCAGGGCCAGACCCGAUCUGUUGGGAAGAGGCAUGAGCAACCUUUGUAAGCUGCUGUUAGGUCCUCUUCACCUGUGCCCUGCUGCUUCGGGCAUGCCCUUCGUAUCACGUUAAAUUGUCUUAGCACUGUUAGAGCCACCAGUAGGUGGGUCAGCCCACAUGGGGAUCUAUUCCACAGAGUAUGGCACUAGUUUGAGUCUUAAGCCUUCAACAUUGGGCUCUAUAAGCAAUAAGGGGCACAAAUUUGAGAAUUAGACCUAGAUCCAUGAAGAAAGAUUCGUGAUGGCCCAGGCAGGUUGGUAGAGAAAAUCACUAAGGAAUGAAACUGUAGGAUUUCUGUUCAUAGGAAGCUGCAGACUCUCAAGAACUAAAGGAAGAUUUUGUCUCAGUAGAAAUCAACAGCACAAUAGUGAUCGUGGCACAUCAAAGGUAACCGUAGUGAUUGCUCCACCCCCUAAAAUCAUUGAGCUUGAGCCUGGAAAAAUACUCUUCCCUUCCCUGUGUUCUGUUGGGUUUUGUGUCCUCAGAGAAGCCCAAGUGACAUAAACUAAAAUUUCAUUUUUGUCAUCUUUAGUAUUCUUAUUCCACCUCCUGUAUAAUGCUCUUUAUAAUUCUAUUUCUUUUUAUAUUUAGCUACUCACCUUAAAUAUAUGCAACAGAAAUAUUAGCGAAAAUUAGUAGUUUUUGCAUAUAAAAGCAUUUUAUUUUAAUUUCUUACUUGCACUUUCAUAGAAAAUGACAGAAAUGCAUUUUAUGUAUUUCUGAGCUUUUCAAUAUGCACAGUAGAAUCAUAUAGCACUUGUUUCUCCCUUUUUACUGAGCAAAUUCCUUCUAGGUGUAUGUUACCCGGUCUAAUUGGAACUGCUAACAGAAUCAUAGAAUCACGUAGGUUAGAAAAGAUCCUGAAGGUCAUUGAUUCCCACCAUAGCCCUGGCGCUGCCAAGGCUGCUGAAGAGUUCACCCAGCUCCCCGUGCUCCUUGGAGUUUUCUCCCUCUUUUUUAAGUCAAACCAUAAAAGCAGAGAGAUUGCUGAGAUGCGACUGAACAGACAUUGGUGUGCAGGGUUCCCGUGAAUGCCAGUGGUGUGGGAGGAGAUCCCUGAGCUGCUGGGAGCAGCUGCUGGGCUGCGGGUCAGGAACAGCUCUGCCUGGUCCUUACAACAUCAUUAAGAGCCAUGGGAGAAUCCAUGUGCAUAUUUUUAUAUAGUUUCUCUUCAGAGUAUAACUGUGUCUUAAGACUUCAAGGAGAGUCCUAACUCUCUAUUUUUAAGGGAAUAGGAAGGAUGGCUCACAUUCUUUCAAAAAUUAAUGUGUUGCCAGGUAACACAUAGUCAACCUCUCUUGUCCCUCUGCGACUUCCCUGGCAGCGCAAACACUGCGCUCCGGUGACUCGGGUUUGCUGGGCGGUGACUUUGCAUUAAGAGUACACAAAAGCCAAAGAGAGCGUGAAUAGCAACAUGGUGGGAUUUUCCCUUAAUGCUUUUCAAAAAUUUUAUACCUCAUUUGGUUUAGAUUUUUUUUUAAUGAUAAUAAUGCAAUAUUUUCCUUAGAAACAAGUAUUUUCAGUCCAAAGAGAGCCAUUAAAGAAAUAUUGGCAACACGGUAAACUUCAGCAGACUUCCUAAGAAACACAGUCUGGAAGAUGUCCUGAGCCUGUUAGCAUUUUUUGCCCUAAAUCUUUUGACAUGGCUUCAUUAAUUGCUUUCCUUUCUUCCUACUUUUUUUUUGUUUUAAUUUUCAGUGCAGCUGUUGUGCUCAUGCAUAUCCCGCCAAAAUGAAACUCUCCUUCAAGAGGGUGUUGUGCACCUUUUCUCUUUUAGAGCACCUGGAUUAGCUGUAGUAAAAAGACAGAAAUACGGCACUGGAAGGACUUUGUACAGUCCCAGUCUGGCAGGGUGUGAAUUCCGAACCUAUGAAAAACCCACCUACCCAUCCCAUUCCAGCUCCAGCUCUUUCCCUUGCAGCUGCCUGGGCCUUCUCCAGAACACCACUGCACAGGUCAUGCUUUAGGUGUGACAUCCAUGCAGACUUGCCCUGUCCAUUAUCAUUUCAGCUAUCGAGUGCAAUAAUUUUUUAAAAGUUUGUCUUCUUAUUUGUGCAGCACUGGACAGGUUUUGAACUAAAAAGCCCUGACGAUUUGUUAACACUGUUUUCAGUCUCAUUUUGUAUUGAUCCUCUUUGGUUGCUACCAUGGACAAUGGAGACUCUGUAUUGAUCCUCUUUGGUUGCUACCAUGGACAAUGGAGACUCUUCAUAGUGAGCAGUGACUGACGGCAGGACAGACCGCAGGACUCCUUGCGUUGUGGCAGCACUUCUCCGAGGUUGUCACAGAGAGGUUAACACUCCCAGGUUGUUUUUUUCUUAGACUUUCAUUUAAUUCCUCAGCUGUAAAAUGUGUGGAAAUUGGAUAUAUGUACUUGGUAAAUAAUAUCUAUGUGUUUCCUUCCUAGUUAUCCCAGGUCAAAUAAACUGGUCUGUUGCUCUGACCCGUUGUUCGUUGAAGUAUUGUUGGCUUUUGUUUGAAGUCAUGUAGUGUUAACCAAAAUAGGCUGUGGCUUGGGUUGAUUUGUAGCCACUUUUCUCUAAAGAGCAGUAUCCGAAAUGCAGCAGCCUGUGUUCUUCCAGCGGGCGAUGGUGGGUGUUUUGUCCAGGCUUCAGUGAAGACUUUGGAGUGAGUCACUUGAGGAUUAUUUAACCUGGCCAGAAGCACCCUGGCAGUGCGGAAGGGAAACUGAACCUGCUCCCAAAAGGAUCAAUAGCAAUAAACUUGAGUAGCAAUGGUGUUAAGUACCUUAAGAUAUUCUGUGUCUUAGGGCAGCAAUUUCUUCCCCUGAUUUCCCAGUUCAGAUGAUCUCGCCCUAAGAUAAGGAUGCAGAUGAGUGCUCUGACCAGCUAUAAUCUCAAGUUCUAAUUGCUGCGGUGGAUAGUUGACAGUGCUACGUGCCUGUUGCAACAGAGCCAUAGCAUUUUUUCAGAGCUGGUGGAAUUAUUUAAGACAUUGUCCGAAAAGAUUUUCAGAACCCGCAGCCGUUUGUCUGAACUUUGCGGAUGAAGUUGCCUGGUUUCUUUCUGCCUAAUUGUGCCGGUACUCCCCUGCCAUUGCAGCUCCUUACAGGCGCUUCCUUGGGCUUGGGGAUAUAAAAAGGGGCAGUCAGGAGUUCUAAAAACAAACGUGUUAUGUUUCCUGGCUGGCACAGAGCACACACUUUCCAUCUACUGCAGCAGCCUAAAUGCCUGUUUCCUCUUGUUCUUUGAAUAGAUGUUUAUAUAGGACAUUGAUAGAAAGCACAAUGGACUUUGCCUCUGGAAAUGAAGGUCACGUGCACACGUGCAUUUCAUUUUAAAUGCUAAAAAUUACUUUUUAAUGAAAGAUUUUAGUAAGCUAACAGGAAAAGACAGAAGCAUACAUCUAGUGUUGUACUGCUGCAAAUCAAAAGCACAAUUUAAAAAACAUGUUCUUUGUAGCUUCUCUCCCAAACAGUUACUUUCUGUUCUUACAUCCUUUAACUAUGGAUUGCUGCUUCGGUCAUCUUUGAGCAUCCAAAAAUUUAGGCUUGUGUGUAACUUCAGUUUACUUUUUGGCACCAGGACAUUUGAUUUCUGUAAGAUCUCAGCAGGAUGAUUCAUCGUUUGAUUUGCUAGUGAAAUACUAUUACACAGUACGUAAAUAAGUUUUGGUUCUCCUGGCUGAGGGCAGUAGUGGUUUCCUCCAGGUCUGGUCCAACGCGUGCACCCCGUGAGGCAGCGCUGCGGGGACAUCCAGAAUGCAAGCGGGCAUCUCAUUUCUGCCGUCGUUUUACUUUCUAAAAGAGAAAACGCUGUGAAGAAAUGCUGCUGAAAUUGUUUCCACGUCACGUCAACAGGCUUGGCAGAACUCCAGGGCUGUGGGGCUUCCAGGUCUGGCCCUCUCUGAAUGCGUUUGAACUCAGGUUUUUGGCAGCCGGUAAUUUGGUGGCUAUCCCCCCGCCCACCCUCUCUUUUCUCCCUCCUCCUCGCCCCCAGUGCUUGGUGCCUCGCUGCCAAGGGAGGGACAUGGAUGAACAAACAAAUUAAUUUCUAGUGAUAGACUUUCAAAUUAGUGUAAGAGACAAAAAAAUCUAUAACGGAGGUAUGAUUUUGCUUGGGGGUUUUGCUUUGUCUUUAAGUGUCUUUAUUUUCAUUCCACGCUUCAAAGUCUGACUUUGGUACAGUAAUUCUGUAGGUGUUGCCGCUUCCUCAGGAACCUGUGACUCAGGCAGCACGUAAAUGAAAUGACAUCACCGGCAGCUCCUGCUUGAAUUGCCUGUUUCCUAAACAGGGACGGUCGGGUUUUCUUUUAGUACUUGCAGCUUUGUUUUGGGUUCUUUUUGUGAGGGGGGAGGGGAUGAGGGCUUUUAAUUAUCUAAGUUAGCCUCACCAUUAUGAGUAGCCUCACGGCACAUGUUUUAUCCUUUUGAGUUGUUGAAAUCACCAAUAUUGAACUCUACUUAAAACAGGAGAUCUGCAUUCCUACGUAAGCUAUUUAUGAAUGAAAUAAUUAUAAUCGGAUCUCAGCAGAGGUUGUGUUGUUAUAAAGCGUUCUUAACUCACUCCUGCUCUGUGGAGGGGGAGCGGGGAAGGAAAAGGCAUGAGCAUUAUUUCAUUCCAUUAUUGUUUUGGAAGUAACACAAACAAAAGAAAUGUGUUUUCCUGUUCACGGGCAGUUUGAUUGGCUCUCCCCGGCUGCUCCCAGUGCUCUCUGUUUGCACCACAGCACAUUCUUGGUCGAAUCCUCAACUGCUACUUGUCAGUGACAACGCUGUAUAAAUACAUGGUUGAAACAGGAGGAGCUGGGUAAACGUGCUGCUUUGCAGCGUCUGGCUGGCAGCAGGGGUGGCAGCGCGGGUCAGGCUGUGGGGACGUCAGGACCCCCGAGAUGUCGGUGCCGGAGCUGUCAGAGCGCUGGGGAUUGUUGUCACCAGGGGAAUGUGAUGAGCUGGGUGUCUGCCUGUUCAUGGGCAGGCUAUGAGAGUGUUGCAUUCAGUUAUUGUCAUGAGGAAAGGAUCCCUGUCCUCUUGUUUAAACAGCAGCAGUGUGGGGACUCUGUAGAGGUUGGUGCAGCAGAGAUACGGGGCUUGUGCUUUUGGUUGUGCUUUGGCCGUGUGAGGUCUCUCUGAGCAGGCAGUGCCGUUGUGGCUGCACUUUAAAGAGAGCUCCGAGAAAGUCCACGUAUUCAGGGAGGUGGCAUCAGUAACUACCACAGGUAAUGGUCUUUCUUCCAGUUAUAUCAAGCCAUGACAAACCUUGGCACUGUGAAGAAUCAUGUGAUUAAAGUUAUUUUUCAGAUGACACACUAAAAGUCCUAAAAAAAAGGUUUAAAAGUUCUGUAUCUGUUUUGGUUUUCUUUUUAAUAUGUUUUUUUCUUUAUUUCAUCCUACGUUCAUAAACUUACUGUUCAACUUCCUUCGGAUCCUUCAUUUUCUACGUGACCCUUGUGCAGGGGUCAAGCGUGCUUUUAAUGAGCAACUCUCCCUUGCGUGCCCCCGAUGGCUGUGAGAGCACUAGCGGUGUUCCUGGUGCUGAGCAGGGAAUGUCACACAGACACAAAGACAGUUUUCCCUGAUUAAGAGGUUUACCGUUGUACGCUCUGGCAUGCAGUUGGGCAGCGUUUGGGAUUUUCCCCCGUGUCUCGGCCAAGCUGGCUCCUUCUCGCCAGCCGCCCCAUGCGCUGCUGUGACGGGCGCUCACAGGAGCUCCAGGGUGAGACGUUUCAGUACUUGCUAACUGCAGUUGAUUGAACAGGAAUUCAGUGGUGUUUAGCGGUCCAACAUGAGAAACUUCAGACCGGCUGCUUUGCAACCAGACUCUGGUUUGCAGGGGACAAACAGGGAGCAGGUCACCGGGCGUGUGUCCAGCGUUCCCCCGUGGCUGGAGAGCCUCCGCUCCCAUUUCCAGCUAUGAUAGUAUCCGUUACUUAAUUUAGCUUCCUGUUGUUAGGGUUUGGAAAUGUCAUUAACAGAUUCUGAUAGAUAACACAAAGAUACCCAGUGCUUAAAAAUCAGCUAGGAACAGAGAAUAACAACAUACCUGUUGGUGUGAGACACUGGAAAAUAAUAGAAGAGAAUGUAACUUAAAUGUCACUUGAGUCUCAGGAUGGGGCUGACAUGCCACAAGGUCAGCCAGCGGUAUAUUGUUUCAGAAUAUGAACAAAUCAGUUUUUAAGUCAUUUUGUUGCUACGAUGAUAGGUGAUUGUGGCUUCAGAAGUUUUCUAAGCCAAAAUGUUACGUUCAAGCUUUCAUAGCUCAGAGAUUAAGGUAAAUAAUUUGUGCGAUUUAUUUAAAGCAACUUUGUCCUGUCCAUAGUAGUCAUAGACACGGGAAGCUGAAUUGAGCAGAACACGUGGACCGUACCGCAGACCUGCAGUGAAGCCAAAGAAAGUCCCGUCGUCUCCAGUGCCCGGCCCUGGGCUGAGCUUUGCUUAGUGCUGCGUGGAUGCCCAGGACAGCAAGACCAGUCUUGACUGGGUCAGGCAACAGAGGAGCGCGAGUGUUAGGGAUGGUACAGGUACAUCUCAUCUCUAACAUCGUCUGCUGAUGCCUUUUAAUUUAAUCAUUUUGGACAAGGAGUUCUGAAGUGUGUAGUGAAAUUCUUUUGCCUCAAUUUUUGGGUGCCCAACUCUGGAUGCUCUAAGCCAGACCAUGGUGAUGUCUUAAACUGGGUUUCGGAAUUCUGAAAGGAGUCUGAUUUCAAAUGUAAAGACAAUCUUACAUUAAGCAUGUAUUUCAAAAACUUUAUGUAUGUAACAGAGGAUUAAAUAAAUCUGUUGUUAACUUUUAAA